UUCUUCAAAAGUGCAAAACAAAAAUUGUCAAUUUACUUUCUCAAGAAUUUUCUGAGGAUCCACUUAAGUUCUUUUUUUAUUGCAAAUAUCGACGGCAGAAAAACGUGGAGGUAAUUUCCACAAACGCUAGGGUAACGUAGGAAAACUAUUGUUUCCAAACAAGUACUUACUUUCUAAACGAAUUAGUUGGCUUGGCAAUCUUCAACGUCUAAAAUAUAUUAAAUGUCAAUUUAGAUUAAUAUAUUAAUCAUAAAAACUUAUAAGUGUAUAAUAUCCAUAGGAACCGGCGGCCGCCACGAGUUUGUGCCAGAAGCAGUGUUUACGGAAGCCGAGAGAUACGCAAAAGAGGCACUAAAAGACGAGUCUGAAUCCGACGACGACCUGUAAACAGAUUUUAACUCACAAUAAUACGAUUGCGAGGUUAUGUAAUUUUUAUGUCUUAAUUAUUUUGGAUUUAUUAAUAAAAGCGUCAAACUACUA